AUUGAACGCUGGCGGCAGGCCUAACACAUGCAAGUCGAACGGUAACAGGAAGAAGCUUGCUUCUUUGCUGACGAGUGGCGGACGGGUGAGUAAUGUCUGGGAAACUUCCUGAUGGAGGGGGAUAACUACUGGAAACGGUAGCUAAUACCGCAUAACGUCGCAAGCCCAAAGAGGGGGACCUUCGGGCCUCUUGCCAUCGGAUGUGCCCAGAUGGGAUUAGCUAGUAGGUGGGGUAACGGCUCACCUAGGCGACGGUCCCUAGCUGGUCUGAGAGGAUGACCAGCCACACUGGAACUGAGACACGGUCCAGACUCCUACGGGAGGCAGCAGUGGGGAAUAUUGCACAAUGGGCGGAAGCCUGAUGCAGCCAUGGCGCGUGUAUGAAGAAGGACUUCGGGUUGUAAAGUACUUUCAGCGGGGAGGAAGGGAGUAAAGUUAAUACCGUUGCUCAUUGACGGUACCCGCAGAAGAAGCACCGGCUAACUCCGUG
rnacentral:rRNA from 1 species